GAUGAACGCUGGCGGCGUGCCUAAUACAUGCAAGUCGAGCGAACAGACGUGGAGCUUGCUCCUCUGACGUUAGCGGCGGACGGGUGAGUAACACGUGGAUAACCUACCUAUAAGACUGGGAUAACUUCGGGAAACCGGAGCUAAUACCGGAUAACAUGUUGAACCGCAUGGUUCAACAGUGAAAGACGGUCUUGCUGUCACUUAUAGAUGGAUCCGCGCCGCAUUAGCUAGUUGGUAAGGUAACGGCUUACCAAGGCAACGAUGCGUAGCCGACCUGAGAGGGUGAUCGGCCACACUGGAACUGAGACACGGUCCAGACUCCUACGGGAGGCAGCAGUAGGGAAUCUUCCGCAAUGGGCGAAAGCCUGACGGAGCAACGCCGCGUGAGUGAAGAAGGUCUUCGGAUCGUAAAACUCUGUUAUUAGGGAAGAACAAAUGUGUAAGUAACUAUGCACGUCUUGACGGUACCUAAUCAGAAAGCCACGGCUAAUUACGUG
rnacentral:rRNA from 1 species